AAAGGACAGUACUUCUAUACCAGUCUUUAGUUGCAAUGCAUAAUGAUCCAGUCAUCCUUAUUACAUAUUUAAUUCUGACAGCUAUCCAAAAACCCAUACAAGCUCUUGGUUGAUUUAGAAACUGUCCAGCUGGGAUCCAUGCCCGAAGUAGCUCAGGACUCCAUCCAGUAUCGUCAUUGGUUGGUAUAUCCGUAGUGGCGGAUAAUUGGAUAAACAGUCAUUGGAGCAUUUGAAGUGUCAGUCUGUUUAUUGAUUUGCUCAAGAGAGGGGUGCCAUCGAGAAGGAAUGUGGUGUGUCUGAUGAUAAUUGGCUGGGAUGGGUCCCCAUAUCUUUAGCUCCAGUGUGAACAAUGGCGUUGGGCUUGAUAAAUAAUAGGGCGCUUCAAGGCGACCAAGUAAAUAGGUCUCUCCACAGGGGCCCAAUACAGGGAAAGGGACUAUUCCCAGGUUAGCCCAGACCAUAUCAGAUAAAACAGAUAAAGGGGGCCUAAAGGCUUUGACACAAAGUCAUUGUGUGUCCCUCUCCCAUUUGUCUCAGUUUGUUUUGUGAGGUUCAUGAUAGUUUCCUCUGGGUGGGGCCGAGAUGAGGUACCAUUCUUGGGAAUUUCCAGUGAAUUUCAUAGAAAAGUUACUGUAGGGCAAAAAGGUGAAACAAAAGGGUGAUGAUUUCCUGUAAUCAAGCUUUUUGGCUGUCAAACAAGGGAAUUCAGAUGAGUUCAUGUUUCUGUGGCUACCAACCUCUCAACUGAUUGAGACAGUCAGUAGGAUAAGAACCGAUCCAACAAUAUUAGAUCCAGAGCGGAGACCACUUGCUGGUCUGAAUACACACACACACACACACAUGCACACGAGUCUUUCCACACAGCCAUAUACCCCAGAAUAUCAAGGUGGAUAAUCCUCAAUAUCUGCUUUGAACUGGAUUAUCUGAGUCCACACUGUCAUAUAAGCCAGUUCAAUGUGUAUUUUAUACAGCUGUGUAGAAGGGGCCUAAGUCACCAUUGUCCAAAGGAUUAGCCCAACCCAAUUGUCCCGGAAAUUUCCUGGGGUCAACAGGAAGGCAAUGAUCCUUUAGCUGUCUCUGGCAGAAGUCAUAUAAUUUAAUAUAUUUUUGUUAUAUAUAUAGAGAGAAAAGGAAUAAAAGAUAUAAUAUGGACAAAAGACUACAAGGAAGGGAUACAAUGUAGGCCGAAGUUGUAAAGAAGGAUACAUUCUGUUAAAGGGCUGAGGAGCUUUGCUUUUGCAAGAGAUUCACCACUGCAGGCCUCAUCUGGUCUGUACGUGUUUUGAUACGAAUUAGCAUAGAUCUACAAAUUCUAAAUAUAUAUAACAAACCUUUGAGGGAGGUUUGCUGUGGCUGCCGGUCCAUCCCGGGGAUCGCGGAGACCUUGCAGAAAAGGGAAAAGAAAUUAUUUCAUCUUGUUUUGUUUAGGUGUCCUAUAAAUCUCUGGGGUUGGGGUUGCGUUCUUUGACAACUAUAGGGUUUGGUUUCCAGACCUUUGAGCAUAUUGCUCGCCCUUCUCUGGACACCUUCCACUAUGUCAACAUCCUUUUUGAAGUAUGAUGCCUAGAACUGGACACAGCAUUUUAGGUGAGGUCUGAUCAAAGCAGAUUAGAGUGGGACGAUUAUUUUCCUUAAUCUAAACAUUUCACUCCUAUUAAUGCCACCUAGAAUCACACUGACUUUAGCUGCCACAUCAUACAGUUGAAUCAUUAUAACAAUUAUCAGACCCAACUGGAGGUUGGUAGUUAAGGCUUAGAUUUGUAUUAGAAAUUAUUUCAUUUUUAAGCAUAACUUUUGGGCUACUCUAGAUUUUUUUAAAAAAUCCUUUUCUUUUUACAAAUUAGAUGCUGUGCUCUGCCGACGAUGUACCAGCACGAGGCCUUGGUUACCAUGCUAUCCCCCAAACUCCAUUUGUGCUGCUAUCAACAGUAUGCAUGUCUGCAUGACGUUGAAAGUUUAUAAAGAUCAUGAACAGUGGCAAGUCGUCAUGAGCUGCACCAACGUGGAUAAUCCAAAAUGUACAGACUGGUACCUGGAUGAGCGUACUGGGAGAAUGUAUAUAUACAGCUGCUGUUCUAAAAAAAAUUUCUGCAAUGAUGACACCUACAAUGGUACUACUCCACUCAUUGGGGGGCUGAAUAAAAGGUCCUCUGAGUGACUGUCGCCAGUCGGGUUCGGGCUGGUUGGAGUAGCCAUCCCCCAGAAGACCUGUGUGUCCUAAAGAGCAGGAGAAGGCGAUCCUGUACGGAACCUGGACCUAAACUAUGGACUUCAUCAGAUUACACUGCGAAGUGUUCAGAAGAGUUCAGAAGAAGAGAGUUCAGUCUAACUCCAUUCCGUAAUAAAAAGUUUUCUCCUACCUUACAA